GGCGUGGAACGGGUGGGCUGCGGGGACGAGAAAGGGCUGAUCUUCUAGACGGGGCUCACAGAAAGUGAGGGGAGAGAGUUUUCGGAGUGCCGGGGCGGUGGCCGGACCGUGAGCCUUUCCUCGUGGAAUCCUUCUCCCGCCGAGGUUACCACAAACAGCAGGGAUCGAAAGCGACUAAGGCAGCGUGUGCUGCGAGGAUAUUGAUCUGAAAGCAUGUCCAGAAGCUUUGGAUAACUCCUAACCUUGUCCAAACCAAGGAAAUAAACAGUUGAAACUGCAAGAGGAGGAGGAGGAGAAAGAAGGUAUAUAUCAGGGUAACUGAAACAACUAGAUUUCCUUGGAGGACUGUUUCCAGCUUGUUGUCACAGACAAAAAACAUGCUAGAGGUAAAUAUGGGAAACACCUGUUUGAUGGAUUGGAUUGCAGUCAGUGGUUAUUGAACGAUAAUUUACUGUUACAUCUAAUUAAAAGCAGACCAUUUGUGAGCAAAUCAAUACAAUAAAACUUACCUGAAGAAUUUAAA